rnacentral:rRNA from 1 species
AUCAUCAAAUUUUUGAACGCAAUGCGCCAUCUGGUAUUCCAGAAGGCACACCUGUUUGAGUGUCAUGA